rnacentral:tRNA from 1 species
GCGCUGGUGGUUCAGCGGUAGAAUUCUCGCCUGCCACGCGGGACGUCCGGGCUCGAUUCCCGGCCGAUGCA